rnacentral:lncRNA from 1 species
CCUCCGUGCUGCCUGUCCCCUCGCCUGGGGGCCCCAGAGGGUCCCUUGAAGCGUGGCCUGGGACAGCAGAUUAAUGGACAGCUGAGCAUUCUGUCAUUGGGUUACAAAAGGAGAAGUUAGCGCAUCAGAAAGGACUUCUCUUACGGCAAAAAGGCCAGGAACCACUCAAGGAAGGCUGACAGGUUUUAUCAACAGAAUGGAAACUGAAGUGAUAAGAAGCUCUGGCCUCAGACUGCUCCGUGUAUGUU